AUUGAACGCUGGCGGCAUGCCUUACACAUGCAAGUCGAACGGCAGCACGGGUGCUUGCACCUGGUGGCGAGUGGCGAACGGGUGAGUAAUAUAUCGGAACGUACCUAUUGUGGGGGAUAACGCAGCGAAAGCUGUGCUAAUACCGCAUAAUCCCUAAGGGGGAAAGCGGGGGACCGUAAGGCCUCGCGCAAUUAGAGCGGCCGAUACCUGAUUAGCUAGUUGGUGAGGUAAAGGCUCACCAAGGCAACGAUCAGUAGCUGGUCUGAGAGGACGAUCAGCCACACUGGGACUGAGACACGGCCCAGACUCCUACGGGAGGCAGCAGUGGGGAAUUUUGGACAAUGGGGGCAACCCUGAUCCAGCAAUGCCGCGUGAGUGAAGAAGGCCUCCGGGUUGUAAAGCUCUUUUGUCAGGGAAGAAACAGCAGCUCUAACACAGUUUGCGAAUGACGGUACCUGAAGAAUAAGCACCGGCUAACUACGUGCCAGCAGCCGCAGUAA
rnacentral:rRNA from 1 species